AUGGUUGGAAAUGGAAAUUUUUUUCUAUGUCGUAUAGUGUUGAUGAUGAUGCGGCAGUGCAAUGAUGGUGGUGCAUGUCAUGAUGUUGAAGUAGCAGGCAUGACAGUGAUGAAGCAAUAAUAAUGGAGAUGGUGGCAUGGUGAUAAAAUUAGUAAUGAUGAUGGUAGGGUUUGGUUGGUGGGUAAUGCAUGAUCCGUCGUUGUGAUGAACAGAAGCAUCUCUUUUCAUGCAAAGCCUAAUAAUAGAUGGCUCUCUGCCAUUAGCAGCUUAGCUGACCUGCUAUAAAGCAGUGCUCUUCUUUAAUCUGAACCAGAUGACUGUACUUGGUUGGGGUGAUGAAGGCCUGCUCUGCGUGGAAGGCAUAUGACAAGCUCUUUGUACAAGGUCAUUGGCCUACUCCGGGCGCAAGCAUCAAUCCUAACACAAAUACCCCUUGAAACCUCCACUUUAUCUCUGUGAUAAUUUCAAAAUCCUGAAAUGCAUCAAUAAGGUUCAAACUAACACUCUCCCUCUAAGAGAGGAGAGUUACAAGAUACCUGAGCUAAGCCUCAAUAGUUUCAAAAUCCCGAAAGGCAUGACAGACUUGAACUGUGUUUUUCUUUUAAGCUGAAGAGUAUAAAUGACCCAGCGCAUCACUAGUUUUUUUUACUGUAGCAGAUCAAACUAUUCUUUAUAGCAUUUUUAAAAAAACUUCUGUGCCAUGAGUUUUGAUUGUUCUAGAUAAUAUAUAUAUAUAUAUAU
rnacentral:lncRNA from 1 species